rnacentral:tRNA from 1 species
AGAAACUUAGGAUUAAUACAAACCCAUGGCCUUCAAAGCUAUUAAAAAGAGGAAAAGCUCUUAGUUUCU